UACGAAGGGGGCGAGCGUUGUUCGGAUUUACUGGGCGUAAAGGGCGCGCAGGCGGCCAUUCAAGUCAGGCGUGAAAGCCCCGGGCUUAACCUGGGAGGUGCGUCUGGGACUGGGUGGCUAGAGAUCGGGAGAGGAGAGUGGAAUUCCCAGUGUAGAGGUGAAAUUCGUAGAUAUUAGGAAGAACACCAGUGGCGAAGGCGGCUCACUGGUCCGGUACUGACGCUGAGGUGCGAAAGCGUGGGGAGCAAACAGG
rnacentral:rRNA from 1 species